rnacentral:rRNA from 1 species
CAGCAGCCGCGGGAAAACGGAGGGUGCAAGCGUUAUCCGGAUUUAUUGGGUUUAAAGGGUCCGUAGGCGGAUCUGUAAGUCAGUGGUGAAAUCUCACAGCUUAACUGUGAAACUGCCAUUGAUACUGCAGGUCUUGAGUAAAUUUGAAGUGGCUGGAAUAAGUAGUGUAGCGGUGAAAUGCAUAGAUAUUACUUAGAACACCAAUUGCGAAGGCAGGUCACUAAGAUUUAACUGACGCUGAUGGACGAAAGCGUGGGGAGCGAACAGGAUUAGAUACCCCUGUAGUCCCUGUCUCUUAUAC